UGGGGAAUAUUGGACAAUGGGGGCAACCCUGAUCCAGCCAUGCCGCGUGUGUGAAGAAGGCCUUUUGGUUGUAAAGCACUUUAAGCAGUGAAGAAGACUCCAUGGUUAAUACCCAUGGACGAUGACAUUAGCUGCAGAAUAAGCACCGGCUAACUCUGUGCCAGCAGCCGCGGUAAUACAGAGGGUGCAAGCGUUAAUCGGACUUACUGGGCGUAAAGCGAGCGUAGGUGGCUUGAUAAGUCAGAUGUGAAAGCCCCGGGCUUAACCUGGGAACGGCAUCUGAUACUGUUAGGCUAGAGUAGGUGAGAGGAAGGUAGAAUUCCAGGUGUAGCGGUGAAAUGCGUAGAGAUCUGGAGGAAUACCGAUGGCGAAGGCAGCCUUCUGGCAUCAUACUGACACUGAGGUUCGAAAGCGUGGGUAGCAAACA
rnacentral:rRNA from 1 species